CCUACGGGUGGCAGCAGUGGGGAAUAUUGCACAAUGGGGGAAACUCUGAUGCAGCGACGCCGCGUGAGUGAAGAAGUAAUUCGGUAUGUAAAGCUCUAUCAGCAGGGAAGAAAAUGACGGUACCUGAGUAAUAAGCCCCGGCUAACUAUGUGCCAGCAGCCGCGGUAAUACGUAGGGGGCAAGCGCUAUCCGGAUUUACUGGGGGGAAAGGGGGCGUAGACGGGAGUGCAAGUCUGGAGGGAAAGGCGGGGGGUUAACCCACAGACUGCUCUGGAAACUGUACGGCUGGAGUGCAGGAGAGGUGAGUGGAAUUCCUAGUGUAGCGGUGAAAUGCGUAGAUAUUAGGAGGAACACCAGUGGCGAAAGCGGCUUACUGGACUGUAACUGACGUUGAGGCUCGAAAGCGUGGGGAGCAAACAGGAUUAGAUACCCCUGUAGUC
rnacentral:rRNA from 1 species